rnacentral:rRNA from 1 species
AUUGAACGCUGGCGGCAGGCCUAACACAUGCAAGUCGAACGGUAGCACAGAGAGCUUGCUCUCGGGUGACGAGUGGCGGACGGGUGAGUAAUGUCUGGGAAACUGCCCGAUGGAGGGGGAUAACUACUGGAAACGGUAGCUAAUACCGCAUAACGUCGCAAGACCAAAGUGGUGGACCUUCGGGCCUCACACCAUCGGAUGUGCCCAGAUGGGAUUAGCUAGUAGGUGGGGUAGUGGCUCACCUAGGCGACGAUCCCUAGCUGGUCUGAGAGGAUGACCAGCCACACUGGAACGGAGACACGGUCCAGACUCCUACGGGAGGCAGCAGUGGGGAAUAUUGCACAAUGGGCGCAAGCCUGAUGCAGCCAUGCCGCGUGUAUGAAGAAGGCCUUCGGGUUGUAAAGUACUUUCAGCGGGGAGGAAGGCGGUGAAGUUAAUAGCUUCACCGAUUGACGUUACCCGCAGAAGAAGCACCGGCUAACUCCGUGCCAGCAGCCGCAGUAA